rnacentral:rRNA from 1 species
CCUACGGGAGGCAGCAGUGGGGAAUAUUGCACAAUGGGCGAAAGCCUGAUGCAGCAACGCCGCGUGAGUGAUGAAGGCUUUCGGGUCGUAAAACUCUGUCCUCAAGGAAGAUAAUGACGGUACGUGAGGAGGAAGCCCCGGCUAACUACGUGCCAGCAGCCGCGGUAAUACGUAGGGGGCUAGCGUUAUCCGGAUUUACUGGGCGAAAGGGGUGCGCAGGCGGGCUUUAAAGUCAGGAGUGAAAGGCUGGGGCUCAACCGUAGUAAGCUCUUGAAACUGGGGGACUUGAGUGCAGGAGAGGAGAGUGGAAUUCCUAGUGUAGCGGUGAAAUGCGUAGAUAUUAGGAGGAACACCAGUGGCGAAGGCGGCUCUCUGGACUGUAACUGACGCUGAGGCACGAAAGCGUGGGGAGCAAACAGGAUUAGAUACCCCAGUAGUC